UUCCUGGAGGGAUCUUGUCAAAGUCUGAUUGAGAGAAUAUUGACAACCACUGCAUUGCCCUGUUUUCUGAAUCUUCAGAAUAUUCAAUCAAACAUUUCAGGUGGGAUCUUCCUCCUGACCAGGUCAAGUUUGACUCUCUUCAUUUAUUUCCUCUCUUUACGGGUGCAGAUUAAUUCUGUCCCUCUGAGAGUUUUCCACUACAACUGUUGUAAUGGGAGUGUAGUGAGAAGAUAUACCGUCAAGUCCUCCAUUACCUAGGCCACACUGAAGUGAUGCUGCUGUGGUACUGACCCCCAGUUUAUCUGCCUGUUCACGGGGGGGUGGGGAGGUGGGGGCGAAUGCUAAUCUCACCGUGCAUUAGCCGAGUACAACCUGGCCAUCUGCCCUGGCUCAGGCAGAAAGACCGCUCACCCUUUGGGGCCCACUUCACUGGCAGCUCUGUGAACCACCGUUCUGGACACAGAGGUGAGACUAAACUCUGAUUAACCUGAUAAAAGUAUUUAGGUUAUUUAUUUAUUUGUUCAUUUAUGGGAUGUGGGCGUCACCAGCUCAGCCGGCAUUUAUUGCCCAUCCCUAGUUGCCCUUGAGAAGCUGGUGAUGAGCUGCCUUCUUGAACCGCGGCAGUCCCUGAGGUAUAGGUUCACCCCCAUGCUGUUAGGGAGGGAAUUCCAUGAUUUUGACCCAGCGACAAUGAAGGAAUGGUGGUAUGUCUCCAAGUUAGGAUGGUGAGUGACUUGGAGGGGGAUUUCCAUGUGGUGGUGUUCCCAGGUGUCUGCAGUUCUCAUCCUUCUAGAUGGUGGUGGUGGGUCUAUGAGAGACAUUCACAGAGCUAAUGAUCAGAACAUUUCUUGCAUGGAAGGUGCGUCAAGCUUAGGGGGAGCAUAGGCUUAUGGUGACAGGGACCAGAUAUACGGUAAAGCGGACCUGAGGGUAGUUUUUUUACACAGAGAGUGGAUAAUAUCUGGAAUUUUCUGGCAGAGGAGGUGGUGGAAUCAGGUUAGUUAAUAAAUUGAAGAGAUGUUUAGAAAUACUUAAACAGGGAAGGUAUAACUGGCAUGAGUGAGUGGGGCCGAAGGGCCUUUUUCGACAGUGACCCUAGGAGUGUGUGGAACCUACCCAUCAGCAGCAAGAAGUAUCUCCUCAUGGCCAUCAAAGCCUUGGAAUAGCCUCCGACAUUGCCUUGUCAGGGCAAUGAUCAGCCCCUGAAGAGGGUACAACAUCGAAUGUGUUCAUGUACCUCUCCACAGCUCACUGUAACUCGAUCUGUGGCCCAUGUUCCCUGCCUGUCACAGAGAUUCCUCCUGCCCACGCUGCGGGUAGGGCCACCCCUCUUUGUUUGCCUCUGUAACAGUGUGCUGGAGUCCCUAGCAACUGCUCAAGUCCUGACUCUAGAGCUGAGUCUGGCACAGGGCUUAUUUUUAUCUGCUCUGUUCAAACUGGCACAUAUCUAAUGUGUUCCCAUGAGAACCAAUUGUUUUCUGAUAGCUGAAAAUCAGAGGGAUUGCAAUUAGAGCAGUGGUCCAGCGAGUGACAGUCAGUCAGGGUCUGUGAGGGCGGAGGUUGUCAUUGCAGCUAGCACGUUAGACACACACCGCAAUUAAUCCACCCUCGCUUAGAGUGGCCACCUCUCACCUAGUGAGGGCCAUUAAGGAACAAACAACGGUCUAUACGUGGAGAGAAAGCAGUCAAAUUGGGAGGGUUUAAGUUCAAAGAGGGUGUAUGGAGCAGGUAUUUUUGCACAGAGAGAAAUGGAUGCCUGAAGUACACAGCCAAAUGUGGUGAUGGAGGCAGGUACAACAGAAUCUUAGACAGACACAUGAAUGUGCUGGGACUAGAGUAAUGGACCUUGAUAGGCAGAAGGGAUACGUUGCUUAAUUACUUCAGUACAACAUCAUGGGCUGUUUCUGUGCUGUCCUGUUCCAUACUCUACCAAGAGUGUAAUGAGAAGUCCCUGUCCGCUAACUGCACCAGGUUCUCUGCUCUCCUGACUUGACCCAUGGGCAGCAAGAGGUAGACACUCCAGCAAGUCAGGAGCAGGAGCAAGUGCCUGGUCUCUCUAGCUUGGUUCUGUCACUUAGUGAAGUCACCAUGGAUGUGAUCGUGGGCUGAAUGCCAUACUCUCACCUAACCCCACUGGGUGGUUGCUGGGGGUGGCAGAGCAUGGGUGGAUAGGAGGCUGGGCUGUGUGGGGGAGAGUUGUGGAUGGAGACAGGAUCAAGGAUUCACAUGACAUUGGCAAGGUGAGGGUAGUAAACUGGUAAGGGGCAAUCUCAAUCUUUUAGAAGACUUAACUGCCCCAGGCAAAUUCUGGCCACUUUACAGGGCAUCAGCUCUGCAGUGAAGACUUGCUUCUGCGGGAGGGGGCAGCACAAUGGGAGAAGUACCCAGCUUGUUGUCCAAUCAACUACUGGGAUUUAUCGUGCCCACCUGAGAGGAUUUGCAUUGGAGGUGGAACUUGGGCCAACGAAGGAAUCAGGAGUGUUUUGGGUACAUUAGGAAGUGGGCACUCUGUGCUUAGAUUAUCUCGAUGAGAUUGGAGAAGUGAUGGAGGCACAGAGAGUGGUGAACUCAUCCCAAAACAUCACCGGAUAUUCCUCCUCACCACUGGAGAUUCCUACAGGAGGCAUUGUCACAGGAAGCCUGCGCAUCAUGCAGACUCCGCCGUUUCCCUGCAGCUACCACCGGGUAACUACUUCCCUUCAAACAUUCAGUCCUUGAACAACCGGCGAAUCAGAUUCUGUGCCCAUGAUGAAGGUGUUGCCUCUAGUGAUUGUGUACAUGGGAGGGCUCCAUGUUGAGUGGUGAUGCCACUGUCAGAGUGCUCUUCACCAUAUAUUGCAGAAAUCUGUGAAGUUCAGUUAUAAGGAGAGACUGGUAGGUUGGGACAGCUUUCCCUGGAGGAAAAGACCUGAUAGGUGACCUUACAGAAGUUUAUAAACUCAUGAUGGACAUGCGUAAGGCAUAUGGUCACAACUCUUCUCCCCAGGGUAGGGGAAGUCAAAAAUUGGAAGGGAGCUGAGAGGGUGGUACACACUGCCAGAGGAAGUGGUGGAGUCAGUUCCAAUUCCAGCAUUUAGGUAUUUGGAGGUGUAUGGACAGAAGGGUUUAGUGGGUCAUACACAGGCAAAUAGGACCAGCUCUGGUUGGCACCUUGGGCAGUGAGGAAUGAGUUGGGCCAAUGGGCCUGUUUUCAUUUUGUAUCUCUCUGUGACCAUCACCAAAAGUAUUUGCAGAUUUAUUUUUUAAAUUGAAUUCAAAUAUGGUUAUUCUGUACACCCCAAAGGUGUGAGCUGGGGCCACUUUGAAUAACGGUGGAUGUUGCUCAUGUGGGAACUUGUGUGGUGGUAACCACUCUGCAGGCUGGUUGGCAAUGGAGGCAAAGGUGCAGAAGAUGAUUCAUAGAACCAGAGAUCCAGGUUCAAUCUUAACUCCAGGCCCCAUCGGUAUGGAGUUUGCAUGUUCUGUCUGAGACGGUGUAGGAUUGUUUCAUGUACCUCCCCUAUCCCAAAUGUGAGCAGCUCGGCCGGUUAAUUGGACACUGCAACUUUCCCAUAAUGGAAGUGUGGGGCACAGAUGCAAGCCGGUGGGUGAAAAUAACUUCCCAAAUCGGUGCCUAAAACGCUGAGAGUGUGGCUUCAGGCUCCUAUCCCUCCUAGUGAGAAGAGGACGCGUCCCAGAUGUAAGAAUUCUUAAUAAUUGUGCCCUCUUCCCGCACCACCUGUGAGUUUGUCCUUGGCAGGCAACGAUCUCUGUCUGAGAGAUUUAAUGGAUCUUUCCUCUCCCAAACCCAAACCUCAGCCUUCAUUCCAAGUAUUCAGCACUCCAAUGUUUUUAGCUCCAUUCUCCUCUUUCAAUGGCCGGGGGCUGCCUGCAGCCAAAAUCAUUAAAUUAUUCCAGUUUGGCAGCAGAGAAUAUGUGGUUUGUAAUGAGCCAGGAGAAGCAGAAACUCUGAGAUAAACUUAGGAGAGGUGCUGGAAAAACUCAACAGGUGCCUGUGGAGAGAGAACAGAGCUGAUGUUUCUGGUUGAGAGGGGGUGGGAGUGGGCGGAGUGAGCAGAGAAAAGAUCUGAGACAGGGCAGGCACUGAGAACGGCCAGUCAUCACCGAGACUUUAGGUUCCAUAUCAGAAAGGGGAGAGUACUCAACUCCAGAUGGUGCCAAGCUACGGUCUCUCUUUGCAUCACAGCUGUAAGUCGGAUUUUAAGUAUUUUAGGUUUGUUGGGAUCGGUUUUGGGAGAGGGAAUAGAUUUAGGUAUCAGGUUAGUGUCUAGGUCUAGGGACAGGGAUGUGGAGGAAUUAGAGAACAGGCUCCGUUCAGUGAGUGUCAGGCUUGUAUGACAGCGAGGAUGAGGGCUGGGGUUGUCCUCCAGGAUCAAAGUUUUGUCCAGGCGAGAACUGCGAGUUUGGGUCUCGUCAUCAAUGAGUCCAGAGCUCUUAGAUUGUCAUUGGCAAGCAUGGGUUGGUGCUGAGGACCAAUGCCCUCUAAACGAGGCAGCACCCAGAGAAGAGGAGGCCCGAUGGGGGGCAGUCCGUGUCUGUGAACCUAUGGAAGCUGAAGGCUCAGUAUCUGAGAAACUACAGUGUGCUGGAGGCUGGAGGCCAAAGCCGAUGGUCUGGGACAGGGCUCAUUUUCCUUUUGCUGCUUCGUUUCAUUCUGUUCGGUGUCAUUCUGCUCGGCACGGUGGGCACAGGAAUACGUGACGACCCUCGCGGGUUGCUGUCAGCACAUCCUUGGGUGUCGUGAUUGGAAAUGCAAAGGACAUCGUAUGUUUGGAAGGACAUGCACGGGAUCAGUUGCUAUCUGGAACUCACUGCUGGAGGAAGUGAUGGAGUCAAAUACAAUGGCUAUGGUUAAGAGACAAUUCAAUAGAUACUUCAAUCAAAAUCUGAUUAAUUAUCACUGACAUGCCAUGCACAGUGGAGACUGAUUGCUGACUGAUUGCAUAAUGGCCUUGUAUGGAAACGUCGGUGUCCAAGACUGGAAAACACUUGAAGAAUGUGGUGGAUACGGCCAAGUCCAUCACAAGCAAAGGAGCGCAGUCACCAGAAAGCAGGAUUGAUCAUCAGGGACCCCCUCCAUCUCCCUUCUCGUUCUUGCCAGCAGAAAGGAGGCACAGGAGCCUCAGGACCCAGACCACCAGGUUCAAGAAUGGUUAUUACUCUGGAACCAGGAUGGAUAACGUCACUGACCUGAACACUGAAAUGACUCCACAACCGAUGAAUUCACUGUCAAGGACUUCACAACUCACGCCCUCAGUAUUAUCUAUUUAUUUAUUUAUUUAUUUAUUUUGUAUUUGCAAAAUUUGUCUUCUUUGAUUGUUUUCAGAUUUUUUGUGUGCAGUUUUUUUUUGUGUUUUUUUUUAGAUUCUAUCGCAUUUUCUUUGUUCUGUGAAUGCCUGUGAGAAAAUAAAUCUCAGGGUAGUAUAUACUGUAUGUGCUUUGUUAAUAAAUGUGCUUUGAAUUUUG